GUAGGGCGCAAGCGUUGUCCGGAUUCACUGGGUGUAAAGGGUGCGCAGGCGGAUUGGCAAGUCAGGGGUGAAAUCUCACAGCUUAACUGUGAAACUGCCUUUGAUACUGCUGAUCUUGAGUUAGGGAGAGGUUGAUGGAAUUCCAGGUGUAGCGGUGAAAUGCGUAGAUAUCUGGAAGAACACCGGUGGCGAAGGCGGUCAACUGGCCCUAAACUGACGCUCAGGCACGAAAGCGUGGGGAUCAAACAGGAUUAGAUACCCUGGUAGUCCACGCCCUAAACGAUGAAUACUUGGUGUUGGCCUUUUUUGGUCAGUGCCGAAGGUAACCUGAUAAGUAUUCCACCUGGGGAGUACGCUCGCAAGGGUG
rnacentral:rRNA from 1 species